rnacentral:rRNA from 1 species
GAUGAACGCUGGCGGCGUGCCUAAUACAUGCAAGUCGAGCGAACAGACGAGGAGCUUGCUCCUCUGACGUUAGCGGCGGACGGGUGAGUAACACGUGGAUAACCUACCUAUAAGACUGGGAUAAAUUCGGGAAACCGGAGCUAAUACCGGAUAAUAUAUUGAACCGCAUGGUUCAAUAGUGAAAGACGGUUUUGCUGUCACUUAUAGAUGGAUCCGCGCCGCAUUAGCUAGUUGGUAAGGUAACGGCUUACCAAGGCAACAAUGCGUAGCCGACCUGAGAGGGUGAUCGGCCACACUGGAACUGAGACACGGUCCAGACUCCUACGGGAGGCAGCAGUAGGGAAUCUUCCGCAAUGGGCGAAAGCCUGACGGAGCAACGCCGCGUGAGUGAUGAAGGUCUUCGGAUCGUAAAACUCUGUUAUUAGGGAAGAACAAAUGUGUAAGUAACUAUGCACGUCUUGACGGUACCUAAUCAGAAAGCCACGGCUAACUACGUG